AAUUAAUCUGCUUUUCUCUCCACUAAUUUAUCUAUAUUUAUUUUCACUGUACUAUCUUCUCCCUUUACCUUACUCCAGCUAGCAGUCCUCAUUGAAGCAGGGGUUGGUGGAACGGUCUUUUCCUAGUUUCCAACUUCCUCCUCUUUAAAUUGAGUCUCUACUUUUCUCCGAACCAUUGACACCUGAGCUCUCCUUCUAGUAGUCGCUACCAAUGUUGGAGUUUCAAUUGCAAUCCCCUUUCCACCUUCAUCUCCGACAACUGUCUUUCUUGUUCAAUGUCGUGUACUACCUCGACUAUUGAAAAGAAUGGGUGAUUUGUGUGUAGAUUAAUUAUUAAUUAACAUAAUAAAAUAACAAUUACAAUUUAAUAGUAAUAUAACAUAAAACAGAUAAGAUAUUUAGAAAGUAAGUUUUGGGAGUCAUGUCAAAGAUGCUGUUCUAAAAUUGUGUUAUCUCCACUUCGUGUAAGUACUUUCGGUACUACACGGCUCCGAGACAAAACCCCUGUAGCUUACAACAGAUUCUCCUUCAAUGGGCACGAUUUUAGGGAGAUAAAAGAACGAGUCAUCGAAUUGUCAAAACUAUAGAAAUAUAAUAUAAAAUAUAGAUGAAGUAUUUUUGUAUUCAAUAUCUCAAGUUGUGUUUUUAUGUUGUGUCCAAACUAUAGAAUCUCCUACCUUUUUAUAGUGUACAACUAAAAUCCCCACACAAAUGAAAAUAAAUUCAAUUAAAGUGUAAGUUAAAAUAUAUAAUUAUGACUUCUAAUUUUCUAUUAAACCUAAAUAUUAAAAUGAAGGAAAACUGAAAAUUAAAAUCAAUUUUAAGUUUUGAAAAUUUAAAGCUUAAGUUACAAGCAAAGGAAGAAGUUUGAGAAAUGAGAUCGUCUUUAUUCUUUAGUAAUAGGCAAAGAAGCAUUUAUUUACCGUUAACGCAUGCUAGUAGUAGUAGAUUUCAACUGCAUGCAUAUUUUAGCAGAUAAAGUUCAAGUCCGACGCCAUUUUUGCCACCAGCUUCCAAAUAUAAAAAUGUUAUCUUUAUUGUCGGUGUUAACUUCAUUUUUCUACCUGGAUAUUUUUGCUGCUCAUUUGAGAGUGAAGACUUCAGAGAGAAAGAAAGAGAAUCUGCGGUAAAAUCGAGAACCAAUAAAUCUCCACAAAAGGAAAAUAAUAGCUAUGACAUGCUCAGCAAGAUGCUUGUGGAUAAGACCCAUGAGUCAAGGGAAAAUGGGUCAAGGAGGAUUAAACCGUGUUGUGGAAACAAAGGGAUCGAAAUUAAUGUAAGGAAUGCCAAGUUGAAACAGCAAGCAGAAGUGAGAGAAAUCUGAAUGCACUGGACAUGGUAUUGAGCCAAGAAAUUCAUCCAAGUUUAUCACCGAUUCUCAUGGCUCUGAUAGUACCGAUGUCAUUCACCUGAAUUUACAUAUGGUAAUGUUCAUCUAUUACCAAAAUCAAGUCAUUUAUAGAUAUUAUUAGGAGGGCGUGCACAUGCAGUCUAGUCUCACUUUCGCUCGACAAGGAUCAAGAUCAAAUAAAUGCGCAUUCGCGUUCUGUCAAGUGAAGGUAUACUUCUAAUAUCUUAGAAACGAAUGAUUCGGAGAGACAAAAACUCUUUAGUUCGUACUUUUAUGGUAAAAAAAAAAAAAUAGAUAGGAUUUCUGAUUAUUCAGACGUUAACCGAAAUGGUCAUUAGAUUCAUCUAACCUAAUUCAAAGUUACACUGAAAAGCAUGGUAGUAGUAGGGUGUAGUCUCAUAUCUUUUUGACUGUAUGCUUAUGUUAAUUUUGGCAA